GCUGCCCAGUGAAUAAUCUGUGCAGUGUGAUACGGCUGGGUGUACAGGUUACUUCACAGCUGCCUCGACAUACUCAAGAAAUGGGUGCAGAACCUGCGUAAUGCCCACAAACUUUGACUACCACAGCAUCUCCAGAAAGUAAAGGGAUAUGUGUCACAUGGAUUUUUUUAAAGGCAUUCACAGUAUAUAAUACCUUGUAUGAACUGUUGUAGAUCUAAGCAGCUUCUACAGUACACUCUCAGAAAUUAAAACUUGUCAGGGAA